UGGGGAAUAUUGGACAAUGGGGGGAACCCUGAUCCAGCGACGCCGCGUGAGUGAAGAAGUAUUUCGGUAUGUAAAGCUCUAUCAGCAGGGAAGAAAAUGACGGUACCUGACUAAGAAGCCCCGGCUAACUACGUGCCAGCAGCCGCGGUAAUACGUAGGGGGCAAGCGUUAUCCGGAUUUACUGGGUGUAAAGGGAGCGCAGACGGUUUUGCAAGUCUGAAGUGAAAGCCCGAGGCUUAACCUCGGAGUUGCUUUGGAAACUGUAUAACUAGAGUAUCGGAGAGGUAAGUGGAAUUCCUAGUGUAGCGGUGAAAUGCGUAAAUAUUAGGAGGAACACCGGUGGCGAAGGCGGCUUACUGGACGAAAACUGACGUUGAGGCUCGAAGGCGUGGGGAGCAAACAGG
rnacentral:rRNA from 1 species